rnacentral:rRNA from 1 species
CAGCCGCCACGGGAAUACGUAGGGUCCGAGCGUUGUCCGGAAUUAUUGGGCGUAAAGGGCUCGUAGGCGGUUUGUCGCGUCGGGAGUGAAAACCCAGGGCUUAACUUUGGGCUUGCUUUCGAUACGGGCAGACUUGAGGCAUUGAGGGGAGAACGGAAUUCCUGGUGUAGCGGUGAAAUGCGCAGAUAUCAGGAGGAACACCGGUGGCGAAGGCGGUUCUCUGGCAAUGUUCUGACGCUGAGGAGCGAAAGUGUGGGGAGCGAACAGGAUUAGAUACCCCUAGUCCCUGUCUCUUAUACAC